rnacentral:rRNA from 1 species
UACGUAGGGAGCAAGCGUUGUUCGGAUUUACUGGGCGUAAAGGGCGCGUAGGCGGCGCGGUAAGUCACUUGUGAAAUCUCUGAGCUUAACUCAGAACGGCCAAGUGAUACUGCAGUGCUAGAGUGCAGAAGGGGCAAUCGGAAUUCUUGGUGUAGCGGCGAAAUGCGUAGAUAUCAAGAGGAACACCUGAGGUGAAGACGGGUUGCUGGGCUGACACUGACGCUGAGUGCGCGAAAGCCAGGGGAGCAAACGGG